AUCAGAUACAACAAAAGUAUUUAUUUUGAAGGAGCAAUUCUGUGUUGUAUGUGCAUAUUCUGUUGGAAGAAAAUGUUCAAACUGGAAGAGGAACAGGGAGGGAGGAAUAGGGAUAAAAAAUAAAAGAAAAGAAUGGAAGGAAAACAACAGAAAGAAAGUUCUCUAAAUGGAAAGGAGAAGAAUGACUGAAGGGAAGGGCAAGGAAAGGGGAAAAAGAAGAAAGAAGAUAUAUUAUGCAAAGCAGUGCAAGAGCAACUACUGCAGUUACCUGAACAGGAAAUGAUCGCUCCAACACGGCUGAUGGGAAGAUAGAAUGGAACUGCCAGUCUGUUGUUGACACCAUUAGGCAGUUUCUUGUCAAAUUAAAC
rnacentral:lncRNA from 1 species